AUUGAACGCUGGCGGCAGGCCUAACACAUGCAAGUCGAGCGAGCGGCGGACGGGGGAGUAAUGUAUGGGGACUGCCCGAUAGAGGGGGAUAACUACUGGAAACGGUAGCUAAUACCGCAUACUAUCGGAUAACCCAUAUGGGAUUAGCUAGUAGGUGAGGUAAUGGCUCACCUAGGCGACGAUCCCUAGCUGGUCUGAGUGGAUGAUCAGCCACACUGGGACUUAGACACGGCCCAGACUCCUACGGAGGCAGCAGUGGGGAAUAUUGCACAAUGGGGUCAAGCCUGAUGCAGCCAUGCCGCGUGUAUGAAGAAGGCACUAGGGUUUGAAAGUAUUGUCAGUCGGGAGGCGUUACCGACAGAAGAAGCACCGGCUAACUCCGUGCCAGCAGCCGCGGUAAUAC
rnacentral:rRNA from 1 species